GGAGAUUGUAUAAUCGUCUCAUUAAGUUUCAUGAUUUUCAAUAUCUGAGACAAAAGGGAUUCAAAAGAUCAAAUUUUUAAAUAAAUUUGGAAGUUUAUUGAACGUUUAAAAUUAUUUGUUUAUGAAGAAAUCCGGGAUCAAGAAUUUUACCUAAUUUACUGAAUGUCUGCCAUCAUCAGAAUUGCUUUUCAAAUUUUGGCAUAAAAAUGAUGAACACCAUUCUUACACCAGAAGAUGUAAUGAUGGGUACGAAUUCUAUCAUGAUUUACAGGUUUCCUAUUAAUUUACUUUAAAGAAAGGCAAAUGUCUACACUGGUUGCAGUGUAGGUUUUUGGAGGCUGCUGUAUGGUCAACUUAUUGGACAUAAAAUUUUGUUGGAAUUCCCAACCUAAAUACUCUUUGAGAGUCAAAUAUGCUGGUUUUCACUGCCUUAGUGUUCGACUUCUUUAGGUCCGUUUCAUGCUAAACAAAUGCUUGGGGUAA
rnacentral:misc_RNA from 1 species